rfam:Thermoanaerobacterium saccharolyticum JW/SL-YS485, complete genome.
GGGGAUGUAACUCAGUGGGAGAGUACCACAUUCGCAUUGUGGGAGUCGAGGGUUCAAAUCCCUUCAUCUCCA